rnacentral:lncRNA from 1 species
CACAUUUCUUCAGUUCUAAAGAACAGGAACUCAUUUUGAAGUUGUAUGAUGAAGAGAGAGAAAUACUAACAGCUAAAUCCAACACAUCCAGUGCUUCUAAACUGAGAGAGGAAGCCUGGAAGAGAAUUGCUGAGAAAAUAAAUGCGGUGUCAGACAGUGGCUUCAAAAGGACAUGGCAACAAGUGAAGGUCAAACACAAGAACAUAGUGCAAACAGGUAUCCCUGUGGUUAUUGUUAAAGCAGACAGAGGCAAGUGUUUUUAACAAAGAAUGUGUUUUGAUUUAACAUCUAACGUCUGUUUACAGCAAAAAGAAGAAGGGCAGAAAUCAUCAGGAGUAAUGGGGGGGCACCAACCCUGCUGCUGAACCCUUAUGAGGAGGAUGAUGAUGUGCUGAAAGUGGAGGUCUUUCCUGAAAGUGCCUGUGUAGACCCAAUAACUGGGCCAGAGAGCCUGCAUGUCAGUGCACCCAGCCAGCCGGCCCUCCUCAUGCCUGUGACGAAGACUGAACCAGAGAGCUCCAGCAGUGACGAGACAGACAUCAGUGACGCUCAGUUUGAAGGGGCAAGUGCCCAAAACAUUGC